rnacentral:rRNA from 1 species
UACGUAGGGGGGCAAGCGUUGUCCGGAAUCAUUGGGCGUAAAGCGCGUGUAGGCGGUCCGGUAAGUCCGCUGUGAAAGUCGGGGGCUUAACCCUCGGAUGCCGGUGGAUACUGUCGGGCUCGAGUACGGAAGAGGCGAGUGGAAUUCCUGGUGUAGCGGUGAAAUGCGUAGAUAUCAGGAGGAAUACCGGUGGUGUAGACGGCUCUCUGGACCGCCACUGACGCUGAGACACGAAAGCGUGGGUAGCAAACAGG